rnacentral:rRNA from 1 species
GACGUAGGAUGCAAGCGUUGUCCGGAUUUAUUGGGCGUAAAGAGUUCGUAGGCGGUUCGUUAAGUCUGAUGUUAAAGACUGGGGCUCAACCCUGGGAGUGCAUUGGAUACUGGCGGACUGGAGUACAGUAGAGGCAAGCGGAAUUCCCAGUGUAGCGGUGAAAUGCGUAGAUAUUGGGAAGAACACCGGUGGCGCAAGCGGCUUGCUGGGCUGUAACUGACGCUGAGACACGAAAGCGUGGGUAGCAAACAGG